rnacentral:rRNA from 1 species
AGGGCGCACGGUGGAUGCCUUGGUACUAGGAGUCGAUGAAGGACGGGACUAACACCGAUAUGC